GCCCAAACUCCUACGGGAGGCUGCAGUCGAGAAUCUUUCGCAAUGGGCGAAAGCCUGACGAAGCGACGCUGCGUGAGUGAUGAAGGCUUUCGGGUUGUAAAACUCUUUCGCGCAAGAGCAAAGUGGAUUAGUGAAUAACUGAUUCAUAUGAGAGUACUG
rnacentral:rRNA from 1 species